rnacentral:tRNA from 1 species
AGUUAAUGAACUUGUAAAAGUAUAUGUUUUGAAAACAUAAAAAAGGGUUAUAAUCCCUAUUAACUU